AUGGCAAAGUCUUUAAUUAUUUUUUUCUUCCGCCUGAUUAUUUUAAGGCAUCGGAAUUUUAUAAACUCCCUGUUUCCGCUUCUCCAUGUAACAAUUUGCACUGAAAACCUGAGGUUUCCACUUCUAGAGCAGAGUCAUUUUAAAAAACAGGUCUUCUGUCCUUUUCCAGGAAUGGCAGCUAAUCCUGAGUCAAUCUGCUGGAACUUAAAAGGUCGGUCAAACAUAUUGGAUGUACUGAAAACAAAAGCAAAGAAGGAGCAACAAAAGUCCUUGUAAUAAAAGAGGUAUGAAGAUAGAUUCCAUUAUUGGAGUAGGCAUUGUCUUAGUCCGUUUGUAUUGUUAUAACAAAAUACCAUAGACGGGGAGACUUAGAUGACACAUGCUUCUCACAGUUCUGGAGGCUGAGAAGUCCAAGAUCAGGCACCAACAGAUUUGCCCUCUGCUGAGAGCUCACUUCCUGGUGCAUAGAUGGCCCCUGUCUCACUGUGUCUCACAUGGUGGAAGAGGUGAGGGAGCUCUCAGGCCUCUGUUAAAAGGCACUAAUCUCCUUCAUGAAGGCUCCACCCUCAUGACCUAAUCACCUCUCAGAGGCCCCAUGCCCAAACACCAUCACAUUGGGUUGCAACACAUUAAUUUUGCAGGGACAAAAACGUUCAGCCUAUAGCAGCAUGUUUGAAGACCCUGGCACAGGGAAGGACUAGGAAAAGAUAAAAAUCUUCUUCUGAGCUCUCUGUCUUUUAUCCUGACGUAGUCACCAAACUGCAUUUCAGACAACAGGAUUGCAGCGGAAACAAACAUCUACAGCAGUGGUUAAGUAAACCUGGGGGCCUGAUUGAAUCAUCUGGGAAGCUUUAAGAGAUACCGGUGCCUGGGCCCUGUACCCAGUUAUUUGAAUUUAAUUUAUCUGGGGUAGAGUCCAGGUAUCAAUAUUUUUAAAAAGCCCCCUAGGUGAUCCAAGGUUCAGUGAUGUUCGAGUCUCCCUGGUCCACAGCUAUGGAGAUAAUGAGAUAGAAUCCAAGCCAGGAAAGACAGCUGCAUGGGUCCAGACAAGUAGGCAGAGAGAAAACA
rnacentral:lncRNA from 1 species